ensembl:lncRNA
CUGUCAGGGUGUAGUUCUGUCAGGGUGUAGUUCUGUCAGGGUGUAGUUCUGUCAGGGUGUUUUCUCUCUCAUUAUGUAGUUCUGUCAGGGUGUAGUUCUGUCAGGGUGUUUUCUCUCUCAUUAUGUAGUUCUGUCAGGGUGUAGUUCUGUUAGCGUGUCAGGGAUAUUCACAUCCUCUUCCCAGGAUGAGACAUCCCAUAAUAUAAGAGAUGAAACAGCUUGUAAACCGUAAACCACAGGACUCAGUAAACCACAGGACUCAGACACAUCAAGACGAAGUGACCUCUAAAGAGAGGAAGAGGAGGUCAACUCUAAAGAGAGGAAGAGGUGAACUCUAAAGAGAGGAAGAGGAGGUGAACUCUAAAGAGAGGAAGAGGAGGUCAACUCUAAAGAGAGGAAGAGGAAGUGAACUCUAAA